CCUACGGGAGGCAGCAGUGAGGAAUAUUGGUCAAUGGGCGCGAGCCUGAACCAGCCAAGUCGCGUGAGGGAAGACGGUCCUAUGGAUUGUAAACCUCUUUUGUCGGGGAGCAAAAGACGCCACGCGUGGCGUUCCGAGAGUACCCGAAGAAAAAGCAUCGGCUAACUCCGUGCCAGCAGCCGCGGUAAUACGGAGGAUGUGAGCGUUAUCCGGAUGUAUUGGGGUUAAAGGGUGCGCAGGCGGAAGAUCAAGUCAGCGGUAAAAUUGAGAGGCUCAACCUCUUAGAGCCGUUGAAACUGGUUUUCUUGAGUGAGUGAGAAGUAUGCGGAAUGCGUGGUGUAGCGGUGAAAUGCAUAGAUAUCACGCAGAACUCCGAUUGCGAAGGCAGCAUACCGGCGCUCAACUGACGCUCAUGCACGAAAGUGUGGGUAUCGAACAGGAUUAGAUACCCUUGUAGUC
rnacentral:rRNA from 1 species